AGGAAGCCCGUAAGGCCAACCUCGUUCCCAGGGUCUUCUGGGUAAUUUUCAAUAUGGCGUCUAGCUGAAGAAGACCCUGGCGGAGGCUGACCCAUUUCCACAGAUCCAUCCAUGAAGAGAAUCCAUAUCCAGAUCUGCAAGUGAUGUGAUCUGGAUAUCCUUGAAAUGGCUAUGGGCUCUUGCAUGAACUGGCUGAAAUGGCCGAAGUUUUCUCAAAUCCCGGACCAUCCCUUGCUCAUCUGCUUCCGAACUCACGGUGGAAUGGCGAGAAGAAAUGUAUUUCUUGUGCUGCAUCACAGGCGAUGUUCCUCCCUCUCCCACCAGACCAGUUCACGAAUCGUCCCUAUUUGACGCGAUGUGCGGUUUCCUCUGACAGGAGAGCCUGGAAAUAAAGGAUUGUAAAAAUGUUAGCAUUAUGGGGCUCUAAAAAGUGGUUGACUCCCUGCUGGAAAGGUAGCUUGCAAAGGAAGCCCUAUAAAACAGUGAUAUUAUAGACAUGGAAAGGAAGAAAAGUCAAAACACAUUUAUUUUGACCCGCAAUUACUCUAUGUAAAGCAAAUAAGAAACAUUUUUUUUUUACUUUGACUUUGAAAUAAAAAUAGCAAGAGACUGCCAAA